AUUGAACGCUGGCGGCAUGCCUUACACAUGCAAGUCGAACGGCAGCACGGGUGCUUGCACCUGGUGGCGAGUGGCGAACGGGUGAGUAAUACAUCGGAACAUGUCCUGUAGUGGGGGAUAGCCCGGCGAAAGCCGGAUUAAUACCGCAUACGAUCUACGGAUGAAAGCGGGGGACCUUCGGGCCUCGCGCUAUAGGGUUGGCCGAUGACUGAUUAGCUAGUUGGGGGGGUAAAGGCCUACCAAGGCGACGAUCAGUAGAUGGUCUGAGAGGACGACCAGCCACACUGGGACUGAGACACGGCCCAGACUCCUACGGGAGGCAGCAGUGGGGAAUUUUGGACAAUGGGCGAAAGCCUGAUCCAGCAAUGCCGCGUGUGUGAAGAAGGCCUUCGGGUUGUAAAGCACUUUUGUCCGGAAAGAAAUCCUUGGCUCUAAUACAGUCGGGGGAUGACGGUAUCGGAAGAAUAAGCACCGGCUAACUACGUG
rnacentral:rRNA from 1 species